rnacentral:rRNA from 1 species
GAUGAACGCUGGCGGCGUGCCUAAUACAUGCAAGUCGAGCGAACAGACGAGCAUCUUGCUCCGGUGACGUUAUCGUCGAACGGGUGAGGAGCACGUGGAUAGCCUACCUAUAAGACUGGGAUAGCGUCUAGAAACCGGAGCUAGUACCGAAUAAUAGAUUGAACCGCAGGGUUCAGUAGGUGAUGACGGUUUUUCUUUUACUGGUUGGUGGAUCCGCGCCGCAUUAGCUGGUUGGUAAGGUAACGGCUUACCACGGCAACGAUGCGUAGCCGACCUCAGAGGGUGAUCGGCCACGCUGGCACUGAGACACGGUCCAGACUCCUACGGGAGGCAGAAGCAGGGGAUCUUACGAAAUGGCAGAAAGCCUGAGGGAGAAACGCCGACUGAGUGAUGAAGGUCUUCGGCUCGUAAAACUAUGCUAUUAGGGAAGAACAAAUGUGUAAGUAACUAUGCACGUCUUGACGGUAGCUGAUCAGAAAGCCACGGCUAACUACGUG